GACUAUUUAUCAUGAUGAUAUUACCGACACUUUUACUGGGCUCAUCGCUUGUAAUAGUUCUCUGCAACCAGCAAGUUAACCAGCCAUGGAGCAUAAAAUCUCCAACUCAAGGAUGUAAAAUUAAAUAUGAAAUAUAUGUGAAUGGCACAUAUGUACCUACAUAUGUUGAUAACUGCACCUGUAUUCUCGAAGGAAAUAAACUAGGACAGUUUCAAGACGGCACUCGUUGCAAAG
rnacentral:lncRNA from 1 species